UACGUAGGGUGCGAGCGUUAAUCGGAAUUACUGGGCGUAAAGCGUGCGCAGGCGGUUCGUUGUGUCGGCGGUGAAAGCCCCGGGCUUAACCUGGGAAUGGCCGUUGAAACUGGCGAACUGGAGUGUGGCAGAGGGGUGGAAUUCCGCGUGUAGCAGUGAAAUGCGUAGAGAUGCGGAGGAACACCGAUGGCGAAGGCAGCCCCCUGGGCUAACACUGACGCUCAGGCACGAAAGCGUGGGGAGCAAACAGG
rnacentral:rRNA from 1 species